ensembl:snoRNA
AUCCUUUUGCAGUUCAUGAGCAUGAUGGAUUGGGUGUUCAUAUGCAUGUGUAAAAUGUGCCACCAUCGAACUUUGUUAUAAUGUGGGCACAUUACCUGUCUGACA